UACGUAGGGGGGCUAGCGUUGUCCGGAAUCAUUGGGCGUAAAGAGCGUGUAGGCGGUCCGGUAAGUCCGCUGUGAAAGUCCAGGGCUCAACCCUGGAAUGCCGGUGGAUACUGUCGGGCUCGAGUCCGGAAGAGGCGAGUGGAAUUCCUGGUGUAGCGGUGAAAUGCGUAGAGAUGUGGAGGAACACCAGUGGCGAAGGCGACUCUUUGGCCUGUAACUGACGCUGAGGCGCGAAAGCGUGGGGAGCAAACAGG
rnacentral:rRNA from 1 species